rnacentral:rRNA from 1 species
GACGAACGCUGGCGGCGUGCUUAACACAUGCAAGUCGAACGAAGUGGCGAACGGGUGAGUAACGCGUAAUAAACCUGCCCUUCAGAGGGGGAAAAAAGUUGGAAAAGACUGCUAAUACCGCAUACUGAGGGAGGGGAGACAGUCUGAUUAGCUUGUGGGGGGGGUAACGGCCCACCAAGGCGAUUAUCAGUAGCCUGUCUGAGCGGAUGAACGGCACCAGUGGGACUGAGACACGGCCCAGACUCCUACGGGAGGCAGCAGGGGGGAAUUCUCCGCAAUGGACGAAAGUCUGACGGAGCAACGCCGCGUGAGUGAUGACGGCUUUCGGGUUGUAAAGCUCUGUUAAUCGGGACGCGGUACCGGAAUAGAAAGCCACGGCUAACUACGUGCCAGCAGCCGCGGUAAUUC